rnacentral:rRNA from 1 species
GACGAACGCUGGCGGCGUGCCUAAUACAUGCAAGUCGAGCGCAGGAAACUGACGGAACUCUUCGGAGGGAAGGCAGUGGAAUGAGCGGCGGACGGGGGAGUAACACGUAAGGAACCUGCCUCAAGGAUUGGGAUAACUCCGAGAAAUCGGAGCUAAGACCGGAUAGUUCACCGGACCGCAUGGUCCGCUGAUGAAAGGCGCGCCGGCGUCACCUUGAGAUGGCCUUGCGGUGCAUUAGCUAGUUGGUGGGGUAACGGCCCACCAAGGCGACGAUGCAUAGCCGACCUGAGAGGGUGAUCGGCCACACUGGGACUGAGACACGGCCCAGACUCCUACGGGAGGCAGCAGUAGGGAAUCUUCCACAAUGGACGAAAGUCUGAUGGGGCAACGCCGCGUGAGUGAUGAAGGUUUUCGGAUCGUAAAACUCUGUUGUAAGGGAAGAACACGUACGAGAGGGAAUGCUCGUACCUUGACGGUACCUUACGAGAAAGCCACGGCUAACUACGUGCCAGCCGCCGCAGUAAGAC